GGAUGUGAGGGUGAUCGAGCUGUGACAUCUGUCAUUCCACUGAUCACCCCAGCAUUGAUUCAGCUGAUCUAACUGGCUGGGCCGACGGCCCCUUCCUCCCUCACGGCUCCACGUGUGCCCUCCCUAAGCUGUGAACUGGGUUCAAGAACAGGAAGACUACUUUCUCUGAACGGAGGAGGAUCAGUGCUUGGUCAAGGGUGUACAAGUUGCUGGGUUCCCCUGCUAGUACCUCCAAACAAGCUCUCUGGUCAGUGUGGGCAACAGAAAGACUCAGCCUCAAAAAUAAACAAAUAAUAAAUAAAACAAAUAAGCUGCAAAUGGUAACCACUUCUUU
rnacentral:snRNA from 1 species